rnacentral:rRNA from 1 species
CCUACGGGCGGCAGCAGUGGGGAAUAUUGCACAAUGGGCGAAACCCUGAUGCAGCGACGUCGCGUGAGUGAGGCAGUAUUUCGGUAUGUAAAGCCCUAUCAGCAGGGAAGAAAACGACGGUACCUGACUCAGAAGCCCCGGCUAACUACGUGACAGCAGCCGCGGUAAUACGGAGGGGGCAAGCGUUAUCCGGCUUGACUGGGUGUAAAGGGAUCGUAGGCGGGUAAUCAAGUCAGUGGUGAAAACCCAGGGCUCAACCUUGGGACUGCUUUUGAAACUGAGUAGCUAGAGUGCAGGAGAGGUAAGCGGAAUUCCUAGUGUAGCGGUGAAAUGCGUAGAUAUCACGAAGAACUCCGAUUGCGAAGGCAGCUCACUGGACUGCAACUGACGCUGAGGCACGAAAGUGUGGGUAUCAAACAGGAUUAGAUACCCGUGUAGUC